UACGAAGGGGGCUAGCGUUGUUCGGAUUUACUGGGCGUAAAGCGCACGUAGGCGGAUCGAUCAGUCAGGGGUGAAAAUCCCAGAGCUCAACUCUGGAACUGCCUUUGAUACUGUCGAUCUGGAGUAUGGAAGAGGUGAGUGGAAUUCCGAGUGUAGAGGUGAAAUUCGUAGAUAUUCGGAGGAACACCAGUGGCGAAGGCGGCUCACUGGUCCAUUACUGACGCUGAGGUGCGAAAGCGUGGGGAGCAAACAGG
rnacentral:rRNA from 1 species